GAUGGUGGCACAUGGGCAGGAUGGGGAUGCCAUGGGGUGGUGGCGUGUGGGUAGGAUGGGGAUGCCAUGGGAUGGUGGCACAUGGGAGGAUGGAGACAUCCAGUUUGGCACAUGGGCAGGAUGGAUAUGCCAUGGGAUGGUGGCACAUGGAAGGGUGGAGAUGCCAUGGGAUGGUGGCACAUGAGCAGGACGGGGAUGGCAUGGGAUGGUGGCGUGUGGGUAGGAUGGGGAUGCCAUGGGGUGGUGGCACAUGGAAGGGUGGAGAUGCCAUGGGAUGGUGGCAUGUGGGAGGAUGGAGACAUCCAGUUUGGCACAUGGGUAGGAUGGAGGUGCCAUGGGAUGGUGGCACAUGGGAGGAUGGAGACAUCCAGUUUGGCACAGGGAUAGGAUGGAGAUGCGGUGGGAUGGUGGCAUAGGGACAGGAUGGAGAUGUGGUGGGAUGGUGGCACAUGGAAGGGUGGAGACAUCCAGUUUGGCACAGGGACAGGAUGGAGAUGCGGUGGGAUGGUGGCACAGGGAUAGGACGGAGGCGCUGAGAAGCGGCGGCGCAGGGCAGGUGGGGGUGUUAUGGGCAGGUGGGGGUGUUAUGGGCAGGUGGGGGUGUUAUGGGCAGGUGGGGGUGUUAUGGGCCGGCGGCGCAGCGAAGGACGGAGGUGGGGACGCCGGGAGGCGGCGCAGUGCGGCCCGCUGUGGGGCGGCGCAGAGCUGCGGCGCUGGGAGCGUUUGGUUCUCAUUAUGGGCUGCUGGCAGCGGCGGUGGAAAAAAUAGCAGUGAGUGCAGAGCUGGGAGGGAGAGGGGCCGUGGAGGGGCGGCUGCGGUGUGCAAACAGCGAGCGGUGAGCACGGCCAGCGUGCAAAUACGGCGUGCAACGUGUGCUCGGCGUGC
ensembl:lncRNA